CCAAAUUCUCUGAUAAGCGUCAUUCGUUCGCAAUCGUGUUAUAAAAAAGGUAAAACGUUCGCAAUCGUGUUGUACCCGAUGUAUGAACCAAAUUAAACAGUAGCCUUUGCAUUUUUCAAUUUUGAUGUAAAAUUAACGAUGUCAGAAUCAUACUUUUUUGUUUUUGGCGGAAAAGAGCUAUUCGUAAAUCAUGGAACCUUUUUUUUGGCGGAAACAGGCCAUGCCUGUUGGGAGAAUUCAGAUUUUAGUAUUAUUGAUGCAAAUUCUCUACUAUGAUGCAAAUGAAAGACCACCCUUGGAUGUUGUACUUGAAGAACGCGUUGCAGAUAGCAAACAAUUUAAUUUAGCGUAUUGAUAGCAAACAAUCAUUGUAUCGAAACUAAUGAUUAAUAUAUACGAUGAGCAGGAAUUUCACUCAAAAUAAUAUGCACAUUUUUGUGAAUUUUACGUAUUUUGUCAAUAUUUGAACUUUAAAUGCUUAUAAAAAAAAUUGUGAUUGUAUUUUUAAUAUUUUUCAUCUGUCUUUAAAACAAUAAAUUAGGAGUCUGGAGCCUUCUAUCAAAUUUUCAAACUUUUUACCGAACAAAUAAAAUUGUAUUGAUAUUUAUAGAAUAAAAAACUAAAAAAAAUGGAAACUGAAAUGUCCAUACACUGCAGCUCAAAAUAAGUCAAAAUAUUUUGAAAAUGUUAUGGUGUAUAGAAAAUGCUAAUAUAAGCAUUCAGUCAAAAUGCUGUCAUGUAUCUACGGUCAUUUGUAAAUUAAAUAUUUUGUUUUAUAUAGUUAUACCAAAACCUAAAACCAAUUUUGGGUAAAAAUUCCCGUUUUCCUUUAUUUUUUUUUUUGUUUUUCCCGGCGUUUUUAAAAACUAAUGGGAGUUUUAAAUUUUGACCUCCCGAAUGCACCAACAAGAUACUGAAGUUGAAAAUAGGAAAUCGAAGCAGUUACGCUGUUUAGUACAAACAGUUUGUACUUCGUCGCAUCGGUCGCAUCGUAUUGCGACGAAACAGCAAUAUCAGAAUAGAAAUCGUCGGACUUGCGGGAUUUUUGUAAGACACGGCGUUACACUAAAAACCAAAAUCGAUUUAGUCAAAAAUCAAUUUUGCGUAAAAAUUCCCGUUUUUCCUUAAUUUCCUUUUUGUUUACGGCGCCUUUGAAAACAUCUGGGAACCAACUAGAUUCACUUUCCUAUCAUAAAAUAUACUGAUAAAGAAAAUCUAAGCUUUUUUACUGUCCUAAAAGGUGAUUACAGAUAAAGAACACACAUCAUUGUAAAAUCAAUAGAUCUAAAAAAAGUUGUCAAGAAAACUUUUAAAUCAAAUUAUUGUAAAAAUUGUUAUUAAAGUACCUAUAUUGAGUUAUUUUUAUGAUUAAAAUAAAGAAAAGUUCAAUUUAA